rnacentral:ncRNA from 2 species
CCCUUAUUCAGAGUGAUGGAGAUACAAAGGAUCUGAGAAGUCACGGCAACCCCGCAGAAACGGAAGGUGCCAGCCUGAGCGAGGAACCGCAUGAGCGGCAAAUCGAGCAAUAAGAG